AAAUGGUUCACUGGUUACUGUUAUGGUCAGUUGUUAUUUUAAAACAUGUAAAGAAGGUAUUACAGAGAAAUACAGAAUAAUUUAUGAUUUUGAGAAUACCCAAGAAUUGCUGGGAAUUCCAAUUUCUUGUUCCGGAAUCCUGAAGAUUAUUGUCUCUCAAGAAUUUGCAGACACGGUACAGUCCCUGGCACGAGCAGACACUCAGCGUAUAUUUAGAAAGAAGGGAUGUUAUUUUGUUGUUUGAUGGUCCCAGCUGUCCUAUGAAGUAGAAGUGAAUGUGCCAUUUUACACGUGAGAAUCCUGGCUCUCCUUUGAGACUGACGGGGGACAACAUCCUUAAGAUUCUUAAAAGCUGCAUUGUUCGCUGAGAUGGCCUGUGCGCCACCCCUCAGGACUCCUGGAAGUACUGAUAGUGCCUUUGCUCGUCUUCACCUGCUCUGUGGCCCAGGAGACUGCUGGUUGAGUUCAGCCACCAGAUGACGCCAGCUGAAGGUCAGUGGGGGUGGUGGUGAAUGAAGUCACAGUGUUCAUUCCUCCAGCUCCCUCCCAGUUCCUAAUGACAAUGAAGCAAUGCUUACAGAACGCUAAGGAGGAGGCUGGAAUCCAACAGCUCUUGGCUGUGUCGUCACUCGGGGAAAGGCCACAUAGACUUCUCCAUCUUGCGAGCUCUCAGGAAGGAUGCCACCUGUGGACCUUUUGAAAAAUGACUUCAGAUAGACUCAGACUUAUGAAUUGAAAAUGGUCUGAAGGAGGAACUCAGGAAAAGGAUUCUAGAGGAAAGGCCUCCCAGACCACAGCAACCGUGACUAGAAGAAGUCCCGGUCAUAAAGACGCCAAACGUCCAAGGAGGGGCCGGGCUGAGGCUGCAAGGCCCUACCACCAAGCUGAAGAAACUGCCACUUGUUGGAGACAAAUUUGUGGAGUUGAGAAUGGUCUCUCUCAAAAAGACACUUCUUGAAGAGUCUGGGCCAGGGUCUUCCGUUUUGCUUUUAUAUGGGAUUUAAUGCUAGAAAGCAUUAAAUACAUACACAUACAUGUAUAGAUACACAUAUACAAAGAGAUAUACAGGUAAAGAUAAACAUAUUUGGACAUGGAUAUACAUACACAAACAGACAUACGUAUAAAGACAUAGGUAAAAAUAUACGUACACAUAGACAUAGACACGGAUGCAGGGGACUGAGGUGACCACCACGUGAAGAGCUGAUAGGCCACUGGGAACACCCAGGCCUCCUUUCCAAUGAUCUUCUCAAAGUGUGAGCACACCACAUGGCACAGCUGUCUUCACUGCUAUAUUCUAGAACGCCCCUGCAUCAGAUUCCUUCUCACAUAAGAACCAACAGUGAUAACGCCAUACCUCGUUGUGCGAUGAAACACUACGGGGCCCUUGAAAGGAGAGAGGUAGAUCUUGAGGACUAACAGCGAAAGAUGCCACUGUGGUGGAGCGCCUGCUGUGAGGUGAACAAAGGAAAUGCAGAGCUGUGAACAGAGGAGACUUCUCUCUGGUGUUUUUUGGGGAGGAGAUGAUUAGACGGUGCAUAGAAAAAAUUCUAAGGGAAUGUGCAUCAAAAUGUUACCGUUUUUUUCUUGGGGAGGAGAUCAUGGGGGAACAUUCCACAUUUUUCUAUAUUAUAUGCUUCUCUAAUGUUUCAUGCUUUUAUAAAAAAAUGCAUUACCUUUGAAAUCAGAAAAAACAGAUGGACACAUAAAACACACAUGUUCAUAUUGUGUACGCACCAUGUUCUCUAAAGCUUGCUUCCUUACGAGGUCUGCCUCGCCCUCACACCACUCCCAGACCUUCACUUCAUCAGUCCUGCGCCUUCACUUUGGCUUUUCCUUCUGCCCAGAGUGCCUGCCCCGAGCCUUUCAUUAUUCCAAAUUCUCUUUUUUUGAAGAAGAUGAUUACUAACAUCUGCUGCCAAUCCUCCUCUUUUUGGUCAAGAAGAUUGGCCCUGAG
ensembl:lncRNA